rnacentral:lncRNA from 1 species
AUGAACGGGCCAAAACGGACAUGGCAGCAGGUCAAAAUCAAAUACAAGAACAUUCUGCAGAAUGCAGUGAAAAAGAAUACCCACAGACAAGGCACGGGUGGUGGGUCACCAAAGGCUGACCUUACCCCAGCAGAGGACAUGGCCUUGGAGCUAAAUAAAGGCAGGCCCGUCUUAGAGGGGAUCCCUGGGGGGAAAGAGACGAGCAUAGGUCCCUCCCAAGAUGCCACCCGCUUCAUUCAAGGCAUGUCCUUCCAUCUCUACAUGGAAUACAACCACAUUCAUAUUGAAUCAAUUUGGACUGUCUGACUUUGGUUUACCUAUUGCCUUGCAGUGUCUGGCAGCACUGUGUUCCUGUUAGAGCCACCAGCACAAGCACCAGACGAUGCUGAUCCAGUGAGUACUCCAUCAAAGGCAUACUGUAGGCCUGGCAUGUCUUGUCUACUAGCUUCAAUAUGAAUCCGAUUAAAUGUGAUAGGGUGAAAGCCCCAGUACAGCAGCAACAGCACAUGAUGGAGACGAUGAUGAGGAGGAGACCAUCUCUCUGGAUUCCAGAAGGCAUGAGGUAUCAUGUUAAGACUGUGAAAGUACUAUUUACUCUACAAUGGUGAGGAGUCCUCAUCAAAAUCAAAAAAUCUAAUUUCUUUUACAGGACCCAGAUGCUAUACAGUGGGAAAACCAGCCUGGCAACAUAGUGCGUAUUAAUAAAAGGACACCACAUCCUGCCAAAUUCCAGCUGCGCUAAUUGUAUUUUGUUCACAGAGCUCACAAGCUAUCAGAAAGUUGUAUGGCAACCACCUCCGGCGCCAAAUAGAACUGGCAGACAUAGACAUUCAGUACAAGAAGAAAAAGCUAGAAAAUCUUGCACUGGAGUCCGAAAUAAAAAAGAGGACAAUUAGGAAACUGGACCCUUGAAAAUAAAAAAAACUUGAGAGGGAGGUGAGAUAUGCCUUCAAUGUACACUGUAUGCUAACUGUAACACAAAUGUAUUAAUCAUUAUUUUUCUUUCCUCCCCCAGCUCCAAGAAGAUGACACAGCUCAAAAUAAAAAUUAGGUAUAUUCUCGUAAAGUCAAGUGAGCCAUGACAUAUGAGCUCUUAUUGUGAGCACACAGGACGGUGGCAUCUUUCUAAGGUAUUUUUUAUUUUCACAGCAAUCAGUACAACCAAGUCAUCGUUAUAAGGCACCAGCCUCUUUUGCCCACCCCCCCAGCACC